CUUUAUUGGAGAGUUUGAUCCUGGCUCAGGACGAACGCUGGCGGCGUGCCUAAUACAUGCAAGUCGAGCGGACUUGAUGGAGUGCUUGCACUCCUGAUGGUUAGCGGCGGACGGGUGAGUAACACGUAGGCAACCUGCCCUCAAGACUGGGAUAACUACCGGAAACGGUAGCUAA
rnacentral:rRNA from 1 species